UACGUAGGGUCCGAGCGUUGUCCGGAAUCAUUGGGCGUAAAGAGCUCGUAGGCGGUUCAGUAAGUCAGGUGUGAAAGCUCCGAGCUCAACUCGGAGAGGCCACCUGAUACUGCUGUGACUAGAAUCCAGUAGGGGAGUGUGGAACUCCUGGUGUAGCGGUGAAAUGCGCAGAUAUCAGGAAGAACACCAGCGGCGAAGGCGGCACUCUGGGCUGGAAUUGACGCUGAGGAGCGAAAGUGUGGGUAGCAAACAGG
rnacentral:rRNA from 1 species